rnacentral:rRNA from 1 species
UACGGGGGGGGCAAGCGUUGUUCGGAAUUACUGGGCGUAAAGGGCUCGUAGGCGGCCAACUAAGUCGGAUGUGAAAUCCCCAGGCUUAACCUGGGAACUGCAUCCGAUACUGGAUGGCUUGAGUUCGGGAGAGGGAUGCGGAAUUCCAGGUGUAGCGGUGAAAUGCGUAGAUAUCUGGAGGAACACCGGUGGCGAAGGCGGCAUCCUGGACCGACACUGACACUGAGGAGCGAAAGCCAGGGGAGCAAACGGG